AACAACGCAUAUAAUUAGUUCUAUUUUGUUUUAAUUUGAAGGAAUAUAAAUUACAAGCUAUAAAUCACAAUAUAUUGUAUGUCGAAAACCAGUAUUGCUUGAAUGUCGGGUUGAGUCUGACGGUAACUUGUAAAGCAAAGGUGAGUGGGGUACGGUUCGCAGGCCCAAGACGGCCAGGACAAGGCUGAGAGUGAGAAUGCAUCACAGCGGUGACCAUAAAAGAGACUUAGAGAAAGUGCAGGAAGAAGGAGAAAAAGGAGAGGAGGAAAACUCAGAAGAGCCCUUAGAUUUAACAGGAUGGAAAUCUCAAGAAAACAAAGAUGGGUUGCUUGAAGAAGAGAAUACAGGAGAUGGGAAGAAAAUGAGCUGUUGUUAUUUUGGGUUGGAAGAUGAGAAAGAUCCAGAAGAUAUUUCAUUGGCUUGUUUGAGUCCAAUUUCUAAACACUCAAAACAAAACAGAAAGAGAAAGAAGAAAAGGAAAAAUAAGAGCAAAAUUUCAUUUGAAUACAAGAAAAAGAAGAAAAUGAGACCAAAAGCAAAAUCAAAGUCAAAUGAAUGUGAAUUACAUUUCUCUUCUGAAUCUGCAGACUUAAGAAAUGAGCUUGUUCCGGAAGACCUAAGUUUAUACUCUAAGUCCUCUGGUACUCAUUCUUGUAUGUCUGAAGAAUCAGAUUCUCCCUCAGAGCAGGUAACUGGAGCAAUAAGGGAUCUCAGUUUAAAUGAACAUUCAGAAUCUCCUCAAUUCUCAGUUGGGAAUGCUGCAAAAAACAAGUGUCACGAAGAGUCAACUUCAGAUGACACUCGUAGCUCAUUGGUUGAACAAGAAAUCAAAGCACCAGUCAAAGAAACCUUUGAUUUCUUAACAGAGCAAAAGAACUUUAAUCCAAAUGAGCAAAGGUUGGGUCAAAGGAUCGAAGAAGGAGACCAAUCAAUUAUUUCUUCCCUGGGGCAGAAAGUAGAAGCUAAAUAUACAGAAGAUUCAACUUCUUCAUCUCAGCUGGAAAAAACAGAAGAUUCAGAAGAUCAACUAGUUCCUUUUGAGAUCUCUCCAAGAUCAACUUGCAAAAUCUCAAAUAAUUAUUUAGUGAAAUCCAGCACAAUUAGGCAUGGUUCAAAUGAAAGGGAAGAAUGUUUACGACCUAGACCAUCACAGAGUUUGGUAAUGACAAGAAAACGUCGAAUUGCACCAUCACUACUCGAAGGUAUUAUAGGAUACAAGCAGGCAAAACUUAACAUGCAUACCAUCACUGCCAAAACCAGUACUUCUAGAAGAAUGGGGCCUAUAAAUAAGCCAUCUUACAGGAAUCAUUCAUCAAAGAAAUCAUCAACAUGUAGUUCAUCUUCCUCCUCUCAAAUAACAGUAGCACUGGACAUUUUUAAUCCUGAAGACAGAGAACUUAUGUCUGAUAGUAGCAACAAAGAAAUGGAUCAGGACUCAGCACAAAAGCUUUUGGAUGCAAGUGUAGGAGAAAUCAUAUGGGCAAAACUGGGCUCUACCCGCUGGUGGCCAGCUAUAGUCAUUUGGGGGACUGACUGUGGGCAGCCACCUGCUCAUCCUGGCCAAACGUGGGUGUUCUGGUUUGGUGAUCACAAAAUAUCAGAGUUACCAAGGGACAAGCUGGUGGAUUUUGUUGAAGAGUUUAGUAGCAAGUUUAGUGACUUUGCUGGCAAAAUGUUCAAAAGGGGAGUUGUAGAGGCAAUCCGAGAAGUGGCUGUGCAUGCUGAAGUGGAAUUUGUUGAGGGUGACUCUGCAGGAAUGCUUAAUUGGGCCAAAAAUGGAUUUCGGACAGAAUCUUCAAAGCCUAAUCCAUAUGCUCCUGAUAUUGCCACACCAAUUUCUGAGAAUGUUUCAAAACAUUUGAAUCGAAUAAAAACUCAGUAUCUUCAAGCUCUACAAUCUUUUGGUUCCCAGAAUUCUUUGCAACCUCGUUUUUCACGUCUGGAGCAAUUGGAGAAUAAAGACAGUGCAUUAAAGAAAGUUCGAGAAGGAAAAUUUAGAAUUCAAGAUGUAUGUAUAGCUUGUGAUUCAACAUUAGUAGAAAUAUCUACCCAGCACCCACUUAUAGAAGGAGGCUUGUGUAAGCAAUGCAAAAAUGAAACUGUAGAAACAAUGUUUGCUUAUGGAGAAGAUGGAACUAAUGCUUAUUGUGUGAUUUGUGGCCAAGCUGGAGAACUUUUGAUCUGUGAUAAUAAUGACUGUAACAGGUGUUACUGUACUGGCUGUAUUGAUGUUCUUGUGUCUCCUGGAGCCCAUAAAAAGGUGCUAAGUACUAGUCCUUGGUUGUGUUAUAUGUGUCAUGAUUACGAUCCUGAGAUCAAUGGUCUCAUCAGAUGUAAGGAGGAGUGGCAGCAGAAUGUAAUGCAGCUAUUUCAACCUGAGAAACAUGUUCAUCUUCCUCCCUCUCCAGAAGAUUAUAAAGAAAAACGACCAAUUAGAGUCCUCUCUUUGUUUGAUGGUAUUGGAACAGGCAAGUUUGUGUUAGAUCAGUUGGGGAUAAAUGUGGAUGCCUACUAUGCUAGUGAGAUUGACCAGGAUGCCAUUAAUGUCUCCAUAGUUCAACAUAAACUCAGUAUUAACCAGCUUGGUCGGAUUGAAGAUGUCACUGAUGCUGAGGUAGCUAAGCUGUGCCCCAUAGACUUGGUAAUUGGAGGGUCUCCUUGUAAUGAUCUCUCUCUGGUUAAUCCUGCUAGAAAAGGCCUGUAUGGCUGUGCAACUAGCCAAUAAGGGACGCCAUGUUUUCUGGUUGUACGAAAAUGUUGCAUCUAUGCCCCAGGAAUACAAGUCAACUAUUACUCGUUUCUUACAGUGUGAUCCUGCCAUGAUUGACUCAAAAUACUUUUCACCUCAAAACCGGGCACGUUAUUUCUGGGGUAAUAUUCCAGGAAUGUAUGC
rnacentral:misc_RNA from 1 species